rnacentral:rRNA from 1 species
CCUACGGGAGGCAGCAGUGAGGAAUAUUGGUCAAUGGGCGCGAGCCUGAACCAGCCAAGUAGCGUGAAGGAUGACUGCCCUACGGGUUGUAAACUUCUUUUAUAAAGGAAUAAAGUGAGGCACGUGUGCCUUUUUGUAUGUAUUUUAUGAAUAAGGAUCGGCUAACUCCGUGCCAGCAGCCGCGGUAAUACGGAGGAUCCGAGCGUUAUCCGGAUUUAUUGGGUUUAAAGGGAGCGUAGAUGGGUUGUUAAGUCAGUUGUGAAAGUUUGCGGCUCAACCGUAAAAUUGCAAUUGAUACUGGCAGCCUUGAGUACAGUUGAGGUAGGCGGAAUUCGUGGUGUAGCGGUGAAAUGCUUAGAUAUCACGAAGAACUCCAGUGGCGAAGGCGGCUCUCUGGUCUGCAACUGACGCUGAGGCUCGAAAGCAUGGGUAGCGAACAGGAUUAGAUACCCGAGUGUC